rnacentral:rRNA from 1 species
CAGUCGCCGCGGUAAUACAGAGGGUGCGAGCGUUAAUCGGAUUUACUGGGCGUAAAGCGUGCGUAGGCGGCUUCUUAAGUCGGAUGUGAAAUCCCUGAGCUUAACUUAGGAAUUGCAUUCGAUACUGGGAAGCUAGAGUAUGGGAGAGGAUGGUAGAAUUCCAGGUGUAGCGGUGAAAUGCGUAGAGAUCUGGAGGAAUACCGAUGGCGAAGGCUGCCAUCUGGCCUAAUACUGACGCUGAGGUACGAAAGCAUGGGGAGCAAACAGGAUUAGAUACCCCAGUAGUCCCUGUCUCUUAUAC